rnacentral:lncRNA from 1 species
UCCCGCCCCCGGCGAAGGGGGGUCCGGGCUGCUCUCGGGGACGGCGGCCGGCAGGGAUCGUGAUUGUUCGCGGGCCCGCUUCGCUGAUUGGGGGAUGGCGCCUGCAGGGGCCUUGGGACACCCCCGCGAGCUCCCCUGGCUCGGUGCUAACCGGUUAUUUCCUCCUGUUCCUGCAGCUCCGCAAGCAGCGCGCUCCUGGCCCACGAGCUUUGCAAGCAGCGCAUGCCUGCCCACAAGCAGCUUUGCAAGCAGCGCAUGCCUGCCCACAAGCUUCAGAUGCUAUGUUGCAUCAGUUGAAAAGGUAAAAUGAAGAAGCGGCUGGAUAACAGGGCUCACUCUUUCAGGUUUUAUAUUUGAGUUCUCUUUUGGAUCCAUUUUCCAGCAGGGUCCCUGCAUUUCCUCUUCACAUUCCUGCCCUGGUCUCCUGUUUUUUUGAGUGGAUAGUAUCUUUUAUUCCCUUUUCUAUUUCAAUUGUAAUUUCUCAAUCUAUUAAAUGAAAUCUGAGUUUAAUACAAAGUAUGUUAAGCCCUAAAUUUAAAAUAAUCUCAAACAUUUUAAUAAAUGUACUGAAUCCAUAAGUUUCUGUCA